rnacentral:rRNA from 1 species
UACGGAGGGUGCGAGCGUUGUCCGGAAUCACUGGGCGUAAAGGGCGCGUAGGCGGCUGGGGAAGUCGGUGGUGAAAGCUCGUGGCUCAACUACGAGCGGCCAACGAUACUCCUCGGCUCGAGCACUGUAGAGGCAGGUGGAAUUCCGGGUGUAGCGGUGGAAUGCGUAGAGAUCCGGAAGAACAUCGGUGGCGAAGGCGGCCUGCUGGGCAGUAGCUGACGCUGAGGCGCGACAGCGUGGGGAGCAAACAGG